CAAACAUGUAUUGAAUCAGUUUCCUUCAUUCUUACAGAGUGGGGAACUCAAAAUUGAGGGGAAUGUGGUGGAAUUAGGCUCAAGGAUUGGUUCAAGUGCCAAAGGACCCUGCAGAAGAUCAAGUAUUCAGAAGAACAGCCAUUUUCUAGCUGGGGAGCCCUGCUGAUCUGGCUACAAGAGCUUCCAGCACUAUUCCAGUCUUCAUUAACUCAUCACAUACAAUACAAAGAAGUGAAUUGCACUGGAUUAGUCAAAUGUCUGCAUGGAUUUAUAAGGAAUGAGAGAUCCACGCAGAAUGUUCUUGUGGGCUUAAAGAAGAACCUCUGACGAAGCAGAAAGCUAUAAGUUUGAGGGGGAAAAAAGAGAAGAGAGAGGCUGGGUAUAAAAUAGCGACCAUCAACCAUCCCUAAUGUUCAUUAAUGUUCCUGUCAUGAACGCCUGUGGGCAUUCCCUGGAAGAAUUCCCUUCAUGCCUGGCACAGUGUGUCCCAAAGUGAUGCUAACCCCUAGAUGUUGAAGAGGAGGAUGACAUCACACAGCUCUGGUUGAAGCCAUCUGCUCAUGGUGCUGAACUGGAAGGUGAGCUCCUGCAGAAACGCGGCCCUCGUUGAGAGUAUUGAGCUUUGCUGAAAGUCCUGACUCUUUUCCACAUUCACAAGGACAGCCUUACAAUGCAAAGCCUCUCCUUGGCAUAAGGACAGAUGCAAGCUUAUAACAGUAUGCACUUAGUUAUAGAGGUAAUUUUAUUUGCCUUUGUUAGAAUCUUUAAUAUAAAACUCAGUAAAAUGACCUCUCUAAUAAAAAUGGCUCAGAGAAAUAACAAUAAACAGGUUUUAUGAUACGGAAGAUGCAUUUAAAAAAUCCUGCUAAGGAAAAUGAUCUUAGGAGUCUCAAGAAAAUAUUAAUAUGAAAGGAGAGACUUUUUCCCUAUCCGCUACAAUCAAAGAUGGGUGGUCUGCAUGCCACGUGAGCUUCCUUGCUCCAGCUCUUGUGGGCAGGAGGAGGGGAAGCUGUACUCUAUCUCAGUAAUGAACUCUGACUGUCCAGGAAAGCAUUUAUUUUUGCAAAAUUAAAAAGGGGGGGAGUCAAUGGAUCUGUUUAUAGCUAUAUAAAAAGGCAGAAAAGUUAAUGCUAACAUAUGUUGCUUCAUGUUCCCAGAGCAAAAACAUUUGCAGGAUAAUAUCCCGGAGCGCAGGUGGUAAGCGAUCAAUACUCUUAUUUGUUUUUAAGGGAUGGCAGAACUGCUCACCUAUAGGAGUUGCAGUGAAUGCGUAGAACCCCUACGGACACAUGGCAUUAAUGUACGGGUGUUGUAGGCGUUUUAUUACAUAGACUUCAGGAGUUGGCACUCAGCUACCAGGAUCUCUAUAGCUUUUGUUCAGUGGGAGGUGUCCAUACCAAGCACAGUUCUAGAUCCUAAUGGGGUGGAAGGACAUGUGCCACAGGGGAAUCCAUGGAAAAUUGAAUCAUGGUCGUGUCUUCUGCUGGCUGAGCAGGUUUCUUCUGUUAUCUAGCAUGAAUCACAUCCAAUUCCAGUGUCACAUCUCUAGAAAAUGAUGAAAAUGCUUUCUUUCUCCUGCUUAUUGAUACAGGAUGUUUAGGUCAGGAAUAGACUCCUGGCCUGAGCUUUUAGACUGCAUGGCCCCAGAGCUGCAAACUCAUGUAGCUAACCAUGCACUACCACUAUGAUGAUAUCCAGAGAUGUCAUCUCUCUUUACGGAUCUACACAGACUGUAGAUUUUUCUUCAGGGAUACAUGCCCCUAGAGAUAAAUCUUCCUCUCUUUAAUCCAAAACAUCCAACUGGCAAUUACUUGCAUCUCACAAAGAUUUCACUGGAAGUGACCUUUGGUGGUUUUGGGACAAAACGUGAACCUUUCAUCUUUCCCGUGGCUGUAAGUGAUCAGAUAGAGGCAAAACCCUAUUUCCUGCCUUCCCAUACCUGCUGAGAGGGAGCCGGGGGGCUGCUGGUGUGAGAUCACCAUCUUUCAGAGGACAGCAAAAUGCUUUAUGAAGACUGUGAUCUAAAUACAGAUGAGAUAGCUGGCAAGGCUCCAGCUAUUGCUUCAGGACCUUGUAUAUCUUCUCUGCCUUCAGGACCCAGGUGUUGCCAGUUACCGCCAGUAUUCCUGACGUCAGAUAUGGUUUCUUCCAUUCAUGAGGCCAACGGAACAGUUGACCACAAAGAGUCUAACCCUAGGUGUUUUGUUUGAGAGACAUGUAGUACUUUUUUUCCAUAGAGAGGGAAGGUACUUUGUGCUCACUGUACUGGGCCUUCAGUUCGCUUUCUCAUUCAGACCAGGGCCAGGUAAGCCAAGAUAAACUGGGAACUCUGGAAGUGUAGGCCCUCUUCUUCCCAUUGUCCCCAGACUAGAAGAUGGUCUGGUGGUUCAAGCUGGGUUAUGCUGGGCCCCUGCCUGCUUUUUCUUGGACUUGUGCAUAUUAAUGUUUCCAUCGAGCACUUUGAUCAUUGGCAAACUGUUCUCUGCCAGCAUUGUUCCAUCAGAGAGUUUGAAAGCUCAUCUUGAGAGAAGAUUAACUAAUAAUCAGUGAUGCUUUUGUUACAUGCAUUCCCACAAGACCCACUGCUGGUGACUUGACUGAAAACAUGAAUGAAUUGAGCUUUACUCCACGUCUGCGAGUUAGAGAAAUAUGUCAUUUUAACUUUUUCAGUAACAUAAGCAGUUUUUCAGAACAUUAAACUCACUGGACACAACACAACUAGAGAGUUUUGCUGUUUUCCUCCAGCUGCUAACAGAGCUAAAUGUUUUCCCAGUGUAAAUAGCAGGGCCAUGGAUGGGGUCAGCUCCCCUCCAGCCCCACUCUGUGUCAUGGCCGUGCAAACGCCACCUGAGCAAUUCUCCUUGGACUGCAUUGUAGUAAAGAACAUCGGGAAAAUGAUUCCAAAAUUGAAGGCUAUCCUGAUGUCUUUACUAGCAAUAUCUGUUUUUAAAUUGAGUGAGCUCUGGCUUGUGUCUCUAUCUGUUCCAGCUGCAGAAUUAUGGCUGGAGGACAGAGGCACUCUCCUGGGUGUGAAAUAUUGCAAGGAGGGAGUGCAUUCCGAACACAGGGGUGGCCUGGCAGAGGAGGGUACCAUGGAGAAGUGGUUAGACCCAGAAAGAAGCUGAACGUUAGAUCUGCAAACACGUUUCAAGUUCUCUGGUUUUGAGAAAACUUCCUAGGGUUUUAAUUCAUCGUUUCUCUUGUUUUUGCAGCAAGAACAACUGUGGUUACCUCACUGCUCUGGCUCUGUGCUGACAGAGGGCACUGGGGAGAGAUCUAUCACUGCUGAUGUUGAGGCUUUGCCGAUAACCUCUGCCCGGGGCUGGGUGAAGCUACAAACGCUGCCCAGUCUUCGGAGGUACAGGACCAGUCUGUCAGGCUGUUGGCACACAACAACAAUUGUUUUAUUGUCAGAGUAAGUAAAUAAGAACAAGAAGUCUUAAGUAUUGGCAUAUGUUGAUACGUGGCCAAAAAGGUCUCUAAACAAUACAUUUUCUUUUCAUUCCAGAAACCUCAUACUCCGUUAUUUCUCUUUUAAUGCUGUUGGCAAAUACCCAUGUCACCAUCUAAUUUUGACUAUAGUUCAACUUUUUUAGUGCAAACUUAAUCCUCAUUAUAGUUGUAAACAUGUGUUUCAUUUGGCCUCGUGCUCAUGUGCUAAAGUGACAAAGGCAAUCUAGGGUUUGUAUCAGAAAUGGAGAUGUAUAGGUAAGCAUUUUGUUCAAUCUGCUUUGCCUCUUAUACAGAGAAAAUCAGCCCAGUUGCUUAGUAAGGAAGAAUGUUUUUAUAAGGCUCUUUGUGCUCUCGUGCUUGGCCUGUUUCCUGCUCUGCAGCGGGUUUUGGAAAGAUGGGACACUUCAAGGGAAAACGAGCAAGUGAAUCAAGGAACUGUUGCAAGAGCCUUUGGGAUUUUGUGUAGUGAGCAUCUUCUAUGUUUUCACGCGUUCUUCAGAAAUAGUUUUUUCAUAUUUUUUUUAGUUUUACGUUACUCAGUUUUCACACAGAAGAUUCAAGUUUGCAAAUUACUGCUAGGUUAAGUCUACUAGGAAGAUAUCAAGCAGCAGGAGCAGUUUGGCACCAAGCAAAGGAGAGAGGUCUGUUCCUGGCAAUGGCGUGCAGUGUGAUGGAAGGAUGCUUGGUGGCAGUUCCCAUCCAAUGGUAAUCACGCUGAAGCAGAAAAUAUAUGCAGAAAUUCCCUAGCAGGCACAGCCCAUCUGCUUGGGCUGCUGUGGGGACCACAGUUUUAACAGCUGGCAACUUGGUCAGAGUUUGUCUGCACUUUAAAGAGAAACAGUUUGCUACAAAACAUUUUUCUAUAUUCAAAUACACACUUGAGCCACAAGCAUUUCUCCGUGUUUGCGUAUACCACUGAGUCACAAAUUGUAUUUAAAUAGGUCCCAAAUUCAAUCCAUACAUCUCCAGUCAUUUUCACCCCAUUAUCCUUUCUGUUUCUUGCUAUUUUUCUCACCGAGUGGUGGUAAACCCCAGGCCCAUUCUCAAGCAUGUGGUUGAUAUAAGAGGAAAGGAAAGUUCUUUUCAAAUAUUAAAAUGUUUUUAAAUGCUGUUUUAUAGCAAUCAUGGUCAUCUGCAAGGAAUCAGUUUUCAAAGAAGCAUUUGACGGACUGACACCCACUGGAGCCGGGGACAAGAUGAAAUGCUCCGAUUCAAAGCAGAUUAGGACUUGCUGUUCUGGAAAUCAAGUGAGUUUUGAAGAGGCUGAUGAAGCUCAAUUUCAAAACUAUCAAUCUGGUUUUUAAAAUGUGUUGGGAUCCAGACUGGCUAUAGCAAAAUAGAGUUUUACACCAUACAGUGGUCAUCCCUAUUUGACAACGGUGGAAGACUGUGACUGUACAAUAGCUAUUGAUAAUCCUUCUAUAAAGGACUAAUGCCUACUGAGUGACACGGGGCAUUGCUCUCAACACGGGAUAUAUGCUUCCAAGGUACCUGCUCUGCGAGGACCACAGCCAGCUGAGAACUGAAAGCUAUGGGAGAGCGUGGCAUGCUUUGUAGAGAGGGCAACAGUAAGGAGAAAUGCUAAACAUAUUAGACAAAUCAUCUCUUCUUUCAUUGAACAACUCCAGCCAUGACCUCUGAUCCUCUUGGUAAAAGCUGAAUUUAAUUUCUGCUGUCCCCCACCCAAUAUUUCUUGUGCAUUUGCUAUAUAGCUUCCUGCAAUCCCAUUUAUUGCUCUCCAGAGCUCACAGAAUGUUUGCUUCCUGCAAACUUCGAUUUAUAUUUUUGCCAUUAACUGUAGAUACUCUUUUGUUUGCACACUUAGAGAACUUUCAGUAUUAAGUUUCAAUGUGUUAACAUGGAAUAAACUGGAAAGAAACUAUUUCUUGGUUGGAAUUGAUCAGGUCCUCAGCUGAAUGGUCACAUUUCAGGUUGUUGGAAUUACACAGAGGCAGCUCUUGCGUUUUCCAUUGGUUGAGCUGUCUUUACUGCAUAUCCAGG
ensembl:lncRNA